UACGUAGGGUGCGAGCGUUGUCCGGAAUUAUUGGGCGUAAGGGGCUCGUAGGCGGUCUGUCGCGUCGGGAGUGAAAACUCAGGGCUUAACCCUGAGCCUGCUUCCGAUACGGGCAGACUAGAGGUAUGCAGGGGAGAACGGAAUUCCUGGUGUAGCGGUGGAAUGCGCAGAUAUCAGGAGGAACACCGGUGGCGAAGGCGGUUCUCUGGGCAUUACCUGACGCUGAGGAGCGAAAGUGUGGGGAGCGAACAGG
rnacentral:rRNA from 1 species